AUUGAACGCUGGCGGCAGGCCUAAUACAUGCAAGUCGAGCGGAGCGGCGGACGGGUGAGUAAUGCCUAGGAAUCUGCCUGGCAGUGGGGGAUAACGUCCGGAAACGGGCGCUAAUACCGCAUCCUAUCAGAUGAGCCUAGGUCGGAUUGGCUAGUUGGUGGGGUAAAGGCCUACCAAGGCGACGAUCCGUACCUGGUCUGAGAGGAUGAUCAGUAACACGGGAACGGAGACACGGGCCAGACUCCUACGGGAGGCAGCAGUGGGGAAUAUUGGACAAGGGGCGAAAGCCGGAUCAAGCCAGGCCGCGUGUGUGAAGAAGGUCUUCGGAUUGUAAAGCACUUUAAGUUGGGAGGCGUUACCAACAGAAUAAGCACCGGCUAACUUCGUGCCAGCAGCCGCGGUAAUUC
rnacentral:rRNA from 1 species